AUUGAACGCUGGCGGCAGGCCUAACACAUGAAAGUCGAGCGGAGCGGCGGCCGGGUGAGUAAUGCCUAGGAAUCGGCCUGGUAGUGGGGGAUAACGUACGGAAACGGGCGCUAAUACCGAAUACUAUCAGAUGAGCCUAGGUCGGAUUAGAUAGUUGGUGGGGGAACGGCCUACAAAGGCGACGAUCCGUAACUGGUAUGAGAGGAUGAUCAGUCACACGGGAACACAGACAUGGUCCAGACUCCUCCGGGAGGCAGCAGUGGGGAAUUUUAGACAAUGGGCGAAAGCCUGCUCCAGCCAUGCCGCGUGUGUGAAGAAGGUCUUCUGAUUGUAAAGCACUUUAAGUUGGGAGGCGUUACCAACAGAAUAAGCACCGGCUAACUUCGUGCCAGCAGCCGCUGUAAUAC
rnacentral:rRNA from 1 species